rnacentral:rRNA from 1 species
GAAUUGUUCGCAAUGGGCGCAAGCCUGACGACGCAACGCCGCGUGGAGGAUGAAGAUUUUCGGAUCGUAAACUCCUGUCGAAUGGGACGAAUAGAUCUCGGGUGAACAACUCGAGGUCCUGACGGUACCGUGAAAGGAAACCACGGCUAACUCCGUUCCAGCCGCCGCGGUAAUACGGGGGGGGUAAGCGUUGUUCGGAAUUACUGGGCGUAAAGGGCUCGUAGGCGGCCAACUAAGUCAGACGUGAAAUCCCUCAGCUUAACUGGGGAACUGCGUCUGAUACUGGAUGGCUUGGAUUCGGGAGAGGAAUGCGGAAUUCCAGGUGUAGCGGUGAAAUGCGUAGAUAUCUGGAGGAACACCGGUGGCGAAGGCGGCAUUCUGGACCGACAUUGACGCUGAGGAGCGAAAGCCAGGGGAGCAAACGGG